rnacentral:rRNA from 1 species
CGGCGGACGGGUGAGUAACACGUGGAUAACCUACCUAUAAGACUGGGAUAACUUCGGGAAACCGGAGCUAAUACCGGAUAAUAUAUUGAACCGCAUGGUUCAAUAGUGAAAGACGGUUUCGCUGUCACUUAUAGAUGGAUCCGCGCCGCAUUAGCUAGUUGGUAAGGUAACGGCUUACCAAGGCAACGAUGCGUAGCCGACCUGAGAGGGUGAUCGGCCACACUGGAACUGAGACACGGUCCAG